CGGAGGGAACCCCGUCACAGAUGUGGAUACUAAACUGAAGACCUUAAAGUUCGAUUACCAGUGGGUUGACGCUGUGGAAGAGGAAGAGAGACGUUUGGAGGAGGAACAAAAACAGAAAAUAGAAAUGAAUAAAAAGUUAGAUAAAGAAAUUGUAGGAGAG